AUGACUUCAAAGGACCUACUAUGUAUAAAGCCACUGUGCUCAGUACAGAGGCCUAAAGAUGGAUGGGCCACAGUCCUUGUGAAACUGUGGGCAGUAAUGAGUCAAAUCCAUUUCACCUGCCUUCAUGAAUCAAGGUCCUUACCUGUUCUUCAAGGGGCAGGGAGCCCAAACAAUAAGAUAUUUGCCCAAGUUAUUUUCCAGGAACUUGGAGUCAGCUGUGUGUUGAUGGAGGUAAGUUCAUUAAGACUGAACAGGACCACCCACCCUCUAGCUGGGCACGUGUGAGUGUUUGAGCUCAGUGACUUUGACAUUAGAGGGCUGAAAACUCCACCCUUGGAAGACACAGAGGCCUGUAGCCUAGUUAAGCCUGUGAAGAAUGACUACUGCUGCACCUUUUUACAAGCACAUUUUCCCUACGCUCGCCAUGCCUCACGCAGUCCUGCUUCUUUAUUCUUUAUGCCAUAAAUACCCUGAGCCCCUGGCCUUGGGCUAGGCUGAUUUGAGAUUACUUCUCUUGUCUCCUUGCUUGGCUGCCUUGUGAAUAAACUGUCCCUUUGCUUGCAAACCUCAGUGUCAAAAUGUUGGCUUGCUGUUCAUCAGGCAAAACAAACUUUGUUUGGUAACACUUGUCUUAGAGAGGCUCACAAUCUGGUGGUAUUUAAACAGUUAAAGUGCAAUUUAGUAAAUGCUCAAGCAAUGUAUGGUCAACAUGCUGUGAAAACCCAGGAAGGAGAUGGCAUGAGGAAAAGUUUGUCAGCAUCGGUGAGGUUUGAGCUGGUAUUUUAAAAAUGUAGAAAAUUGGCCUGGCUGCAAAGGACAUUAACAUGGAUUCAACAGAUAGAAACUCAAAAUCAUUCUGGAAGAAAAUCACAUGGAUGGCUUUUGACCAGCUGUGCCAAAUUGUCUCAUCUACUGCUUAAAUCUGGAGAUUCAAGGAUCUGGACUAUUAGGCAGCUCACUCCCCAGUCAAGAGAGAGUAGAGAACUUGGCUGGCUUCCUCGGAGCACGCAGGUAAGGCUGUGAACAUACCACAGUGUUUUCGCUGGUGAGAGAUUCCCCUCUUGAGUGUAUAAUUAGAAUCCAGUAACAACCUAGAACCAGAGACACUUCUCACUGUUCAGCAGGUGAUAAGUGAAAGCUCCAGAUUGGAUUUAAAGUCAAUAGUCCAGUACUCCAGACCCAUCACUCUAGACCUGUAUUCAAUCCCAUUUUAUCUCUGGUACAGGAGAUCUGAUGAAUUUGGGCAUGCAGUGAGAAGGCACGGAAAGAAAAUCAAAUAGAUUUUUCUCCAGUUCUGGUUGCUUGGGUAGUAGGUGAAUAUAAUAUCAAGCCCUCCUUGCCUUCUCUUUUUCUUACUUUCUUGGGAACAGCUCUCCUCUAGAACCCAGGCUUGAACUCUGGGCACCAUAUUGAGAUGGUGGAAUGCCAUGGUUAAGACUGCAGAAUUUUGGAGACAGAUGACCUGGUUUAAAUCCAAGCUCCUUCAGUAACUAAGUAUAUGACCUUAGUAAGUUAUUCAAAAUCUUGUGCUUAAAUUCCCUCAUCUGUAACAUGGGGAUGAUACUAGUGCCGGUCUUAUAUGAUUGUUAUGAGGCUUAAGUAACUUCAGGUAUAUGAAGCCCUCAAGGGAGUAUCCAUGUGGAUGCAGUUUGCACCCCUGGUCCAACUCUGUGGGUUAAGGAUCCUGCGUUGCUGUGAGCUGUGGUACACGUCAUAGAUAACAGCUCGGACCUGGUGCUGCUAUGGCUGUGCUAUGGGCUGGCAGCUGUAGCUCCAAUUCGACCUCUAGCCUGGGAGCUUCCAUAUGCUUCAGGUACAACUCUAAAAAGAUAAUAAUAAUAAAAUUAUUAAAAGUUUUUUAUUUUUAUUAAUAAAAGCACUUAAGGGUGGACCUGGCACAUUGUGAAACAUCUGUAACAUAGGCUACUAUCCUUCCUUUUGCUGAGCAUAUGCUCUAAUAUUUCAUUCCAGAUUCCAGGAAGAAGGACCUAUGAUAAAUUCAAAGAACCAUGAUAGCUAUCCUGGGCACAGGUAAGAGCCAUGACCCAGGGAAAUGACCUCUUUGUUCCUGUCUCAGGACUGGGAAGCAGGAAUUUUGGGUGGGUUUAUAAUGCAGACAGCCUCAAGGAGGCAACUUUUACCUCCCCCACCAACUGAGAAGUGAAAUGUGUCCCAGGUGUUGUCUAUUUCAGAUCCCUCAGUGUGAGGAGGUCGAGAUGGGGAUAAUUUGGCCCUGGGGAAAGAAACAUGGGAUCAGCUUUAGGCAGUUUCAGAGAAGACUUAAGAGGACAUUUAGUGUUCUGACAUGGUCCACACCAGCAGGCAGGGAUCUCAAAAUAAGCCAUGCUAAAGAACAUUCUAUGUGUAGAGUUGGGCUGUGCUCUGUGCUGUGGUUCUCUGUAACUAUUACAGUGUAGAACUCUGAUGCAAGUUCAGUGGACUACUGCUCCUCCUCCUCUCUUCUCCCUUCCCCCACCAACCUAAUCCAGACUCAUUAUUCUCCUAGAAUCUUAGGGUCCCUUACAUCUGCCAGGCUCACCCAUUGCUAGCCUCCCUCUUUCCAGUCCACUUUCGCAGAGUUGUCAGAUUGCUCUUUCUGAAGCAUUGCUCUGAUCAUGUCAUUUCCCUUCCCAUAAACUUCCACUGGCUCUCCACUGAUUCAUUUACCUACUGGGGCCAGCAAGUAGCAUAAGUGAGCAAAGUGGACUAAAUGAAAUGAAAGAGACACUCUACAGAUCUGAGAGCUUGGAAAUAUUCCUGACUUCCCCUAAGGAGAUGCACUUCCUCUCACUUAUUUUGAUAGUGGAGGCUUUCUAAAUCUACAGUUUAUUUCCCACUUUUAGUUCACACUUUGUAUGAGACAUAUCACUUCAUUCUUCACUGUUUUAAGAAAAACAACCCUGCCAGUCAAAUGACUAUCUUAGGUGUUGGUUUGACUGCAUCAAGGGAGACCAAAGUACAGUGGCUUACUGAAGACAGAAGAUUUAUUUAUCUUUAACAUGAAGGUAUAUGUUGGUAGGUGGUGUGGGGGUUAGAAAGUUCUGUUACAUGCAGUUAUAUUGGGCCUCCCAGUCUCUUUUGUCCUCAGCAAUGGUUCUCAAUGUUUUGUCCAGGGACUCCUGGGGGAGUCUCUGAUACACUUUUAAGGGUUUACAAUAUCAAAAUUAUUUUUAAAAUGAAGUAUUUUGAUCUACAUUGUUUUCAAGUACACAACAUAGUAAUUCAGAAAUGUUUAUAGCUUAUACUCCAUUUAAAGUAAUUAUAAAAUAUUGGCUAUAUUCCCUGUGCUGUACAAUAUAUUCUUGUAGCUUAUUUUAUACGUAGUAGUUUGUACCUCUUAAUCCUCUACCUUAAUUUUGCCCCUCCCCCUUCCCUCUACCCACUGGUAACACUAUAUUUUGUUCCAUAUAUCUGAGUUUGUUUCUAUUUUCUUAUAUAUGUUCAUCUUAUAUUUUAGAUUCCACAUAUAAGUGAUAACAUUCUUUAUUUGUCUUUCUUUGACUUUCCUAACCAUAAUAUUCUCUAGGUCCAUCCAUAUUGUUGCAAGUGGCAGAAUUUCAUUCAUUUUUAUGGUGGUGAUCUUCCAUUGUCUGUAUACAUAUACCACAUCUUUAUUCAUCUAUCAGUGGGCAUUUAAGUUGCUUCCAUAUGUUGGCUAUUAUAAAUAAUGCUGCUGUGAACAUUGGGAUGCAUAUAUAUUUUUGAAUUAGUGUUUUCAGGUGUUUUUUUGAUGCACGCCCAGGAAUGGAAUUGCUGGAUCAUAUGAGUUCUAUUUUUAGUUUUUUAAGGACCUCCAUACUGUUUUCCAUAGUGACUAUACCAAUUUAAUUUAUGUUCCCACUGGCAUUGUACCAAGUUUCCCUUUUCUCCACAUCCUCGUCAAUAUUUAUUUGUAGACUCUUUGAUGAUAGCCAUUCUGAAAAGUGUGAGGUGAUAUAUCACUGUGGUUUUGAGUUGCUUUUCCCUGGUUAAUAAUCUUGCACAGGAGUUCCCGUCGUGGCACAGUGGUUAACAAAUCCGACUAGGAACCAUGGGGUUGCAGGUUUGAUCCCUGGCCUUGCUCAGUGGGUUAAGG
rnacentral:lncRNA from 9 species